AACUCUUAGCGGUGAAUAACUCGGCUCCUGCAUUGGUGAAGAAUGCAAGAAUUAAUGUGAAUUGCAGGACAUUGAUCCUUGGAAAGGAUCACUUGGAAAGCACUUGCGGCCCUUGGUUCCUCCAGGGUCUAUGCCUGCCUGAGCAUAG
ensembl:rRNA 5_8S_rRNA 5.8S ribosomal RNA